GAGAGAAGAGAGAGAGAGAGAGAGAGAGAGAACUUGCUAGCACAAUAACAGUGGUGAGUUUUUUUUCGUUCGAGGUGCGUUGAUGGUGUGUCUGAACUAGAGGCUCAACAUUUGUGGAGCUCGAACUGAAAAACAUUUGAAUCUAGUUGUUUGAGAGUUGUGGAUUCACAUGCCGCUUUCUCCUUGAGCAGCUAUUUGUCUUGUAGACAUCAUUGAUGGCUGGAUAUAGUUCAGAUGACGGUGAUUACUAUUCGGAUGGUGUUUGGGGAGAGGAAGACGGUGGUGGCUAUUAUGUAGAUGAUCACUCAGCGCAGCAAGAGUUCAGUGAUGAGGACAAUAUUAGUGAAUCCUGUGAAGGGACCGGCAGGUAAGACAACCAUGAAGAGCAGGAUGAUGAUGAGGGGUUUCAUGUUGAAAAUGAAGGAACGGAGUCGGUGGAAUUGGAUGAUCAACCAGGACAUCAAGUCGGGGGCUAUGGGAUGCCAGGAAACGUGAUUGUGAAUCCGGGCCAGGAUGGACCGCAACAAACUAUGACUGGAAGCAUUGGGAAGCAAUCGGGAGUCAAUAGAGGGCGACAUCCCGUGACUAGCUAUGAAUGGAGUUUGAGGACCAGGCAUCAGGAUAAGCAAACAGGGGACUAUGCGCGCGCGACUGUGAAGCAUACGUUCGCCAGUGGCGAUACAAUCAAGGAGAGGUCCAAGGGGAGAGUCGGAUUCAAGGAGAGCCUAUAUGAACUCGGAGAACCGAGGCGUUUGUUAUUUGAUCUCUCUUGUUGAUUACCCUUGCCUUUUGGAGUAAUGGAUCAUCAGCGCGUUUCUCUCUGUUCGUGGUGAUACAAUCAUAGAGACAAAGAUUUUUUUUUUUCUGAAAUUCCGAUCCUGAACAUGGAAA